GAUGAACGCUAGCGGCAGGCCUAAUACAUGCAAGACGAACGGUAAGAUUUUUAGCAAUAAGAGUCCUAGAGUGUCGUAAGGGUGCGUAACACGUAUGCAAUCUGCCCUCAACAGGAGGAUAGCUCCCCGAAAGGGGAAUUAACACUCCAUAAGAUCACAGGAUGGCAUCAUUCAGUGAUUAAAACUACGGUGGUUGAGGAUGAGCAUGCGCAUGAUUAGUUAGUUGGCGGGGUAACGGCCCACCAAGACGAUGAUCAUUAGGGGAACUGAGAGGUUGAUCCCCCACACUGGCACUGAGAUACGGGCCAGACUCCUACGGGAGGCAGCAGUAGGGAAUAUUGGACAAUGGGUGCGAGCCUGAUCCAGCCAUGCCGCGUGCAGGAAGACGGCCUUCUGGGUUGUAAACUGCUUUUGCCAGGGGAUAAAACGGCUCUGCGGAGCUAAUUGAAGGUACCUGGUGAAUAAGCCACGGCUAACUACGUGCCAGCCGCCGCAGUAAUAC
rnacentral:rRNA from 1 species